ACUAUGUCUUGCGAGUUCAUAAGUUUCUGUUUGGUGGUAUUGUGAAUAUAUGCUAUCUUUGUGUGCUAUGUGCGUGCUUUGAGCAAAUAUUUUUUGGGCAGGUUGGUUUUGCUCUCUCUGACAAUCACUCUCAUAUUGAUGAAAACAAAAAUAGUUUAAGACAUUUCCAGAUUAAGCAUGAUGACUGCAUGAACUUAUGGGCAGCUCCUCUCCGU